rnacentral:miRNA from 1 species
AUGUGUGUGUAUGUUCUUUUGU